CCCAAUCUCCCAGCUUCUCCGCCGCAAAAUUCAUUGCGCUCCCCUGCCAGACGGUGGAGCUAGAGAGCCUCGUACAGGUCGGGGUCCUCCGGUUCAGGUUUGAGGCAGGGCUGACUCAACCCUCCAGGGAUGACACAGCAGGGCUGACUAGUGUGGCCUGCUAGCAACAGCUGCAUUUAUUGAAUAAUUGGCUAAUUCUUUACUUUUUUUUCAUUUAACUUUAACGACCUAUUACAAGUAGCGCGUUGGAAGGUUCAGACAGCUGCAAGCUCCGUCAAGAAAUCACUGUGAUAAGGCAGGGCGAUGUCACCAACCCCUAACCAAGAAAUUAAAAUCUCUUGCGAUCUUCUAAGUGUCCCUGGGCUCACCGCCCAGUGGGGCUGCCGCAGGCCCCUCCUCCCUCCCUGCGGUCAGCUGGGACUUCUGCGGGGGCUGAUCACAUUCAGUCACGCAGAGGCUCCGCCCACUUCCUGGCCAAUCACUGCACUGCCCUCUCCCUCCUUCGCUGCUGCAAGCACCAAAUGGAUACCCGCGCCUUUAGCCCGCCAUCUCAAGGGUUUAAGGGCUUGGGUAGUGACUUCCACAGGAAGAAGAUUCGGAGCUUGUGAAUCUAAAGCUGGCAUUGUUAGAAAGAAAUGUGGUUGGCUGACUUGCUGGUAGAGCUGGCUUCUUUACCUCCCGAGGCUCUGCGCUCAUAUCACAGGCACAAAAACCGGACUGAAAGUCCCUAUUGUCACCGCUUCUGCCUAUUUGGAGGUGGGGGGUGGGGGGAAGUCCGCCUGAUGUCAGUGUCUGUGUAAUGAAACGUCCAACCAUUUCCCUGCUACCCCCACCCCUCCUAGCACUUCCAGGACUACUUUCUGGCAGCUGCCGGUUAUCUCUGUGCGGUGUAUUAGAUUUCCGGUCGGCAGGGGCCAAGCCUUCGCAGCCCUUGAAACCUGAGCCCUUUCUAUAUUGUAAUUAAUGCAAUGGAGAGUCCGGCAUUAAUGAUCUAGAGGACAACUGCUCCCCACCACCACCUCUAACACACACACACACACACACACACACACACACACACACACACACACACACACACACACACACUUUCGCAGCAUCUCACUGGAUCUAGACCAUAGGUGGCCAGGCACGUGCCCAGGCAGGUGCCCUUGUUAUCCCCACUCUACAGAUAAGGAAAUAAGAGGCCCAAGUCACCUGCCUGGAAUGCAGUAGAACCAUUCUGAUCAAAUACCCGACAAAGGCGACGUAAGGAAGGGAGGGCUUGUUUUUGGCGCACAGUUUAAGGCGAGGUCAAGCAUGGUGGAGAAGGAACAGCAGCUGGAAGGCACCAAUCACAUCUCCAGACGGCAAAUUGAUUAGCAGGCUUGGAAAACCGAUUGACCAAAGGGAAGCACAAAGUAAUGCCAAAAACACUAUCUGCUGGGGCAACUUCUAAUCCAGGGCAGGAGAGCAAAGAUCUUUGGACUGGGGGCUGAGGGGAAAGAGUGAAACUUGGAGAUUUCCAAAGGACUAGCAACUAGGCCUUGAAAGAAGGUCUUUAUAAAUGAAUUGUACCCCCACCUUUAAAAAGAUAAGUAGAUGUCUUUUGAAAAGAUACGUGAUUUAUA